AGUCCUAGAAAAGGAGCUGAAGCCUUAGAGGGCCUGUAACAGGAAGGGGGAAACUUCUCUCAUCCUAGAUCUGUCUCUCCAGCCCUAGAAACUACUGGCUGUCUAAGCCCUCCUGCAGUCUGUUACAACACAGCAACCGAGUCUUACACUGUUGUCCGGCCUGGAGUGCAAUGGCGCGAUUUUGGCUCACUGCAACCUCCGCCUCCCGGGUUCAUGCAAUUCUCCUGCCUCAACCUCUCAAAUAGCUGGGACUACAGGUGCAUACCACCAUACCGGCUAAUUUUUUGUAUUUUUAGUAGAGUCAGGGUUUCACUAUGUCGGCUAGACUGGUCUUGAACUCCUGACCUCGUGAUCCACCCACCUCGGCCUCUCAAAGUGCUGGGAUUAUAGGCGUGAGCCACCACGCCUGGCCUCAUGAUACAUUUUCUAUGCCAGAAAUAAAAACAGUGCGUGGGAACGCACAGACGUGUGCACACACGAAGAGCAGCUAAAGACAACGUACUGUGAAAAUCGGUGCCCUCACCAUCCCUCUGCCAGCAUAUUUGGCUUCAUAAGCGAGCUAUAAUUAACAAAAAUUAGAUACCAAAACAAAAAUUGAUCGACUCAAAUCACCACUGUAAAAUGUACAAGGCAAAGGACUCACCUCAUCUCACUGCAAGCGAUUUCAGGAGAAGAAAAUAAAUCUAGAAACCAUGUGUUAAAGGAUGUUCUCACUGCUUUGAGGUUUUUUUUUUUUGAUUUUUCAGAUGGAGUCUCACCCAGACUGGAGUAUAGUGGUACCAUAUUGGCUCACUGAAACCUUCACCUCCUGGGUUCAAGGGAUUCUCUAGUCUCAGCCUCCCAAAUAGCUGGGACUACAGGUGCACACCACCACACCCAGCUAAUUUUUGUAUAUUUAGUAGAGACAGGGUUUCACCAUGUUAGCCAGGCUGAUCUCAAACUCCUGACCUCAAGUGAUCCGCCUGCCUUGGCCUCCCAAAGUGCUGGGAUUAGUGGCACGAGCCAACAUACCCAGCCCUUGCUUUGAGCUUAUUUCCAUACUGCACCUCCUGAUAUGCAAUAUGUGUGUGCCCAGAUUCCAGGAUGAGUCGUUCUACACAGCCUGAAAUUCAGGCAGUCUUUGAAAGAGCAUAAACCAAAACAUCUGGCAUUAAUACUGGAAAUGUCUGUGUUGCUUUUUUGACCACUAUAGAUCUGUGCUUAAAGAUCGCUGUUCUGAUAUGAUCUUUAACUGGUUAAUUAGUAUACAGAUUCAUGGAAAUCCUCCACUCAGAAGAGCAUUACCUUUCUAAAUCAUCCCAGAAUAGCUUAUCUGUAAAUUUGAGCACAGAUUGUUUUCUGCCACAUGUUAGAAAUGGUUUAACUGCCCUA